GAGGGAAAGAAGAAGAAGAGAAAAGAGAAAAAGAUAAGGAAGAAGAAGGGAGUUAAAGGAAAUAAGUUUAAAAGGUAAGAUUUAAGUUUUUAAAUGUAUAAAUGUGUGUUCUUUGAGCUUUAAAUUUCUGUUUCAAUGAAUGUUAGGGUUUUGAAGAUUGUAUUUUGGGUGGGUUGAUGAAUUAAUUUGAAUGUUAUGGGUUGAUUGUUGUAGGUAAUGAGUUAAUUAGUUGAUUUUGAGAGAUUGUAGGUAAAGAUGAUGAUUUUGAGUUAUGAUUUUGUUUGAAUGGUGAAUUUGUGUUAGAAAUCAUGAGAUAAAAGUAGGUAAUCUGUGGAAAUUCUGGGUUUGAGGUUGAAGAUGAUGAAAUUUCAGUUUGGUCCCUCAAUUUAUGAAAAUUACGGUUUAGUCCCCAAACUUUGGAAAAAUUACAGAUUGGUCCCUAGAGCAUAUUCCGAGAUUCUGGACAGAAUAAAAGAUGAAUUAUGGGCAGAAUUCAAGUAUAGUUAUGAAUUUUUAACACUUUCAAUUUGGUCCUCCCAUUUGACAAAAAUUACAAUUUGACCCUAAAAAUUUGGAAAAAUUCCAGAAUGGUCCCUGGAGCAUAAUUAGAGAUUCUGGAAAGAAAUGAGGAUGAAUUAUGGACAUAAUUCCACUAUAGUCAUGAAUUUAUGAUAUUUUUAGUUUGGUCCUCUAAUUUGACAAAGUUACAAUUUGAUCCUUAAAAAUAUGAUAAAUUCUAGAUUGGUCCCUAGCUGUAAUAUUAGCUUUUGCAGAUUGGUUUGAUGAAUGAUUGAGGGUUAUUUAGUGAAUUAUUAUCAAGUCUUAUUAUUUGUUUUAUUAUGGAUUAGAUUUCAGGAAAACCAUUUAAUUUUGGGUUUUUGGAAAAAAUAACUAGUUUAAUUCAAAAACAUAUAGGGUUAUAGAAUAGACCCUUAGUUAAAUGUAUUAAAUAGGUUGUAUAUUCUUUCGAGUCGUUUUUGAAUAUGUCUCUUUUGUAUUUAGAUAAUCCUGAUAUUCUAUCAGCGGGAUAUCAGUAGGAUUUCUUUCGGUAUCUGCUUUCGAGUUCUGUUUGCUUUUGAGUCAGGUGAGUGAAUAAUUUUCCAUAUGCAUGAGAAAUAUUAUAAAUAAUUGAGUUGUUAAUAUGAAUUGGAUCAUGCUUCUUGAUAAAUAUUUUCUAUCAAUUCAUAAGUUAAUUCAAAAUAUAUAUUGGUUCAUAUCAAGAAUUCAGAUUCAACAAUUGAUCAUGACCAAUCUUGAACCAAUUAUCAAGAAGCAUGAUCAAAUUCAUAUUAACAAAUCAAAUAUUUAUACUAUUUCUCAUGCAUAUAGAAAAUUAUCCAUUCACCUGACUCGAAAGCAAACAAAAAUCAAAAGCAUACACCGAAGAAAAUCCUACUGACGUCCCGCCGGUAGAAUAUCAUGAUUAUCUGAAUACAAAGGAGACAUAUUCAAGAAUGACUCAAAAGAAUAUAUAACCUAUUUAAUACACUUAUCUAAGGGUGUAUUCCAUAACCCUAUAUGUUUUUAGACUAAACUAGUUAUUUUCCCAAAAACCCAAAAUUAAAUGGUUUUCCUGAAAUCUAAUCCAUAAUAAAACAAAUAAUAAAAUUGGUAAUAAUUCACUAAAUAACCCUCAAUUAUUCAUCAAACCAAUCCGCAAAAGCUAAUAUUACAGCUAGGGACUAAUAUGAAAUUUAUCAUAUUUUUAAGGGUCAAAUUGUAACUUUUAUCAAAUUGAAGGACCAAACUAAAAAUAUCAUAAAUCCAUGACUAUACUGAAAUUCUGACCAUAAUUAAUCCUCAAUUCUGUCCAGAAUAUCUCAUUAUGCUCCAGGGACCAUUCUGGAAUUUUUCCAAAUUUUUAGGGUCAAUUUGUAAUUUUUGUCAAAUUGGAGGAUCAAAUUAAAAGUGUUAAAAUUUUAUAACUAUACAGGAAUUCUGUCCAUAAUUCAUCUUUUAUUCUGUCCAGAAUCUCGGAAUAUGCUCCAGGGACCAAUCUGUAAUUUUCCAAAGUUUGGGGACUAAAUUGUAAUUUUCACAAAUUGAGGGACCAAACCGAAAUUUUAUCAUCUUCAACCUCAAACCCAGAAUUUCAACAGAAAACCUACUGUUCUUUCCAGAUUUCUAACCCAAAAUUCACCAUUUACAUAAAUCAUAACUCAAAAUCAUCAUCUUUACCUACAAUCUUCCAUAAUCAACUAAAUAAUCAAUUACCCACAACAAUAAACCCCAUAACAUUCAAAUUAAUUCAUCAAUUAAACCCAAAACACAAAUUUUCAAAACCCUAACAUCCAUCAAAAUCAAAAUUUAAAGUUCAAAGAACACAUUUAUACAUUUAUAAACCUAAAUCUUACACUUAAACUUAUUUUCUUCAAUUCCAUUCUAUUUCCCUUCUAAUUUCCCUCUUUUCUCUUCUUCUUCUUCUUUCCCCUUUCUCUCCUGCCGGUUUGCUCUCUUAAAAUUUCAGAUCCCUCUUUCUUUUUUUUUUCUUUUUACUUCCUAUUUAUAUUUAUCAUUUUUUUAUUCAAUUAUUACUAUACCCCUCCAUUUAAUAAUACUUACUCUUGAAGCCACCAAGGGUUUUGUAGCCUUUUUCUAUUCAUUUACUUUCAAAACAUUACAGAGAAAUCUGAGGUCAAAGUUGAGAAAAAAUUAGCCUCUCUCCCUAGCUUUAUUCGCUGGUGUUGCCCCUCUUCUUUGCGCCACCGUAACUGCCAGUUUCUCUGCCAGUUAGUGCUCACCACCACUACCGUGUACAGCCUGCAUAUAGCCCUUGCGCCAGAUAAUCUUCUUCCUUCAAUAAUCUAAACCCAUCCCUUUCUUUUUACUCUGAAUAAGGCAUAUAUGACGUGAAUUGACUUACGUCUUGCUGCCUCUCAUCUCUUUCAAUUAAAAAAGAGAUAGGCUGAACCUGUUUCGGCACAACCUAAAAAAAAGAAGAGAAGGUUGUUGGACCGCCAGUCAGCCCAUCCUCUUGCCGACUGUUUUUGCUUUGAUGUUAAAAUCUCUGCUGUUAAUUUCAGAUUAAUAUAUCUAAAAAAUUCAAGAAUAAUAUUCGUUGCACUUGCUUGCUCAUAAUUUUCCAAAAUCUAAAACACAUUAUAGUUUCCAAGUUUAACUUCCACUAUAGUUAAAUCUUGCAUUGCCACUACGUAUACAGAAAUUAGUUGUGAUUGUCAAUGAAUCAUGUCAGUUCUUCGGUCCAAGUUGUAACUACAGGGUGCGCAUUUAAACUACAGGGUGCGCAUUUAACUCCAUUUGGAGAAGCAUUGUAUCCAUGGGCAAAUCUUUGUUUUAGAUCAAUAAGAGGUAGCCUGAUAAUUAAGUUUUCUGAAAAUGUGUAUUUCUAGGAAUCGCUACGAUGGGAAAAAAGCUGCUGAAGCAGGUAUGGUUCAUGCAACUUAUCCCAUGGGACCACCGACCACAGCUCCUAUAAGAAGGGAUGGAAAAGGGUUAUUCAUCCACUACAUGUUGUCUUCCUGCCUUUCAUUCGUAUCUCCUCUUCUCUUUCCCUUUUCUUCUGCUGUCACUUUUAUCCUCCUUUUAAUUUUGUAUGAAGCCAUGGAAUACAAGAGAAGGAAGUAGAGAAGAGAGGGCAUGUACAAGACAACAGUGAGAGAUCUUGAAGACGGAGGAGUUGGAUUUGUUAGGAUGUGAAAUGUUUAUUCAUUGCAUGCUUGGACCGGAAAUGGCUUCAACAUUUUGAACAAUGUGCUUCCCAACAUUGAACAGCUUUUCGGACACAAUAUCUGAAAUUUUAAAGAACAUGCAAUGUAUUUCUUUUGGUGAACAAGAAGAGCAUUCGUCUACUAUUCUUGCGUUUGAACGUGACAUUUGAAGUAGCGUAUUUGUAUUGACCAAAAAAUUAGCAUGAUUUUUAUAUUGUUUGUAAGUCUUAAAUUCUAGAUGGCACUGAUCAAAGGCAAUCAGAAAAGACACAGCUGUUUUGCCAAAUAAAAUGUCUUUUACUCGCCCUUUGAAGAAAGCAGAAAAAAAAGUCUUGACAGAGAA